rnacentral:misc_RNA from 1 species
GUCUCACUUCUUUUUUUGGGUGCCGAGGCCGGGUCCGUUGCUGCACGCCCGUUCGUCCGUUUGCCCGUGUGUGCUCUCACUGCCGUUGUGCUGUCUGCUCCUGUGUCUCGUUCGUCGUGCAGGACGAGAGUAGCACCCCUUUUCUGCUUGCUCCUUUUUGAUUAUUAAAAAAGAAGAAGAAGGAAAAGAAAAGAAGAAAAGAUCCGUAUGUCUUUCGCUGUGUGUGUGUGUGUGUGUAGCAGCUUUGUUGUGUCCGUUUCUUCUUUUUUAUAUAUUCCACACCGGCACACAGGGCCACAUUGCUGCUGACUUGUUCUUGUUUGCGAAACGUUUCUUUCCCCAUUCGACAACAUACCACCACCGCAGUGCGAGCGGUUUGUGCCCAGGCCUGAUCGGUCUGGUGAGCCUCACACCAAACAUUUUAUUUUGACGGGGCCAUUUUUCAUGCGAAAAACAACAAAAUAAAAGUGGAGAAAGCAACAACUCCACCAUCUCUACCACACAGUACAACUAUAAAAAUUUGUGUGUUUGUGAGCCAAACGAGAGCAAAUGAUUAACAUCAUCAACAUCAUCGACAAAAGAAAAAGAAAAAGCGGCCAUCACCAGUGAAUGAAUCAUGGAGCCGCUGCUACUGAGCAAGAUUGAUCGGAUAUUCAACUCGCUGAGACUUCAGAAUCGCACAGGCCUGCAUCACUCGACGUUGGAGUGAGCUGUUCCUUAUUUUAUUUUUUAUUUAUUUACAUUUUUGUUUUUUUGUUGGGGAGACGGGUGAAUGGGGUAAUACAGUAGUCGAUUAAAAAGCCAAACAAAAAAGUGAGAAGAAACAAAAAAAAACUUUGAAUCCGGAGAAGGCAUCCAAAAUCGCGUGUUUAAUACACGCACAACUACCUCCAUGAUGAAUUAUCCAGUAUGGCCGGAUUCGGCCGGGGUGGCCGGCUACUCUCGGACAUUGCUGGGCCAAAGCGGAGGCGGAAUGCGGUCGUCAUUGGCCCCGCCGCCACCGCCUCCGCCUCCAGCAGCAGCCGGCAGUGGGACCGUAGCUGGAGACGAAGGAGGGAGCAACACAAACAAAUGCAACCCGCCGAAAUAUAACGUCACCAACGGAACAGACCCGAGCAUUCAACGUUCAGCCAAUCACCAUUCAUCUUCUUCCUCAGCCGGCGGAUCGUCGUCGUCGGCGGCCCGUUUGAAUAAUGGAGACGAUUGUGGCAACGGCGGUAGUAACGGCGGAGGAGCUCGAGGCCAUCAGCUCCCCUCGGCGGACAAAUACGCCCCGCUGUCUUCCUUCACCGACGAUGACAGUCUCCUCAAGGUGGCGACACAUUUUCUGAGCGGAGGAAACGGCCAGGGACGACACUACAUGCCUAUUGCUCGCGAUUACUCUACGCUGGGCUACCCUUCGGGCGUUUCCGUCAGUACGACCGGCUCCUAUUGUAAUCCCGGCCAACAGCAGCAGCAACAACAACAGCAACAACAGCAGCAACAGCAGCAGCAGCAAGCGGCUUUAGAAAGACCUGGGGGUUCGACACGCAAUCCUCAUUCUUCAGAUGGGCCAGGAGCCGGAAGCCGGAUAUCUUCAGCGUCUAGUUCGGAUAAUGGGGGAGCGAAUGCAGCCGGCGGGGCGGGCCAACCCAACCCGUUACUUUCUCCGUGCAGCGUAAUGGAAGAAGCCUCCAGUCCUGGAUCGACUACUAGCCAAUUAUCCUAUUUGGGCGCCCUACAGAGUCCGGCUAAUUCCGGAUUGACGCCACUCGGCUUCCCCGCUCCGUACCUUUUGACGAAAGAUGGAGCUGGAUUAGCCGCUGCGGCUGCAGCCGCCGCCGCGCACGCUGCCCAGCAGGUCGGACACGUCGCGCACGGUGGACACGGAGUUCACGGGCAUGGUAGUGGUGGACACGGUAGCGGCAUUGGCGGACCUAAACAGAAGAAAGAACCUAAACCGGGCAGUGAUGUACGUUCAUUUGGAUGUCAGGUCUGUGGGCGUGGAUUCAAACAAAAGGCGACAUUGGCCCAACAUGAACGGACUCAUACGGACGAACGACCGUUUGAUUGUCCCGAUUGCCACAAACGCUUCCGACAGCAGUCUCAUUUAGUGCAGCAUUUACGGAUCCAUUCGGAUGAGCGACCCUAUGGAUGCACCUAUUGUGAAAAGGCGUUCCGUCAGAAGGCGAUACUCAACCAGCAUAUCCGGAUUCAUACAGGAGAGAAGCCGUACGUUUGUCCACAGUGUACUAAAUGCUUCCGGCAAAAAGCCAUACUUAAUCAGCACAUCCGGACGCAUUCGGGCAAACGUCCGUAUUCUUGCCCGGACGCCAAAUGCAAAAAGAAAUUCGUCGAUCAGGCAUCGAUGGAGAAACAUUUCAAAAAGCAUAUCGAGGACGACCAGCAGCAAUUGCUGGCCGAGGCACGUGGAGGACCGAUGAGGUCCGGCAACGCCGGUGGACGUAACAAUGCCAAAGGAUUGUUGCGAGUGAAAUUGAACAAUUCCGACCGGCCGACGACGACGUUUAGCCGCGUGUUGGCGCCUGGCGCCGGCGGGAUCUCGACUCAGGACCGGGCCACAUCUCCCUUCCCUAUCAACAUGAUGACCCGUCCUGGACAAAACAAUAACAAUGCUGCGUCGGGUGCUCCUACCCCGGCUGGCACUGCAUCCGCUUCUCCUGAACGGAUGGCCGAUACGCCGGCUGCCAGCCGGAUUGAACUUGCUGCUCACGAAGGCUCAUCUCAACAAGCACCGCCCACUUACCUGACUCAUCACGGGCAUCAUCACCACCACCAGGCGGCUGCCGCUGCGGCAGCUGCUAGUAAUCCAGCUUCCGGACCCUAUCAUUUUGUACCGUUCCCUCACCGACCUUAUCACUACGAUCUGCUGAGUCUUGGCUCCAUGGGCCAAUCCAUGUACGGCGGAGGAGGUAGCAAUAACAAGAUGGCCGAUCAGCAUGCAGCCAAAUACCGAUCGGAUGCUUUGGGGGAAACGUCUCACAAUCAAAUGGGUGGACAUAUGGACAAGGAGUGCGUCCCCAACAACAACAUGGCAACCAACUACACGGUGAAUGGAAGCGUCCAGAAAGACAGCGUCCCGUGAGCAGACGUUAGCAAGACUUUCAAAACGAAAUGACGACAGCUAAAUAUGAUCCCGACAACUCUAUAAAGAAGGGAAAAGAAGGAGAAAGGAGGAGGAGAGAAGAAACCGGCUUAAAAAAAAUCUAAAAAGAGAAAUGAAUCGCGUCCGCCACACGUGUUUUGUAUACGUACACACCUCUGCCUUGAAAAAAAAAAAAGCUAAAAAUUCAAAGAGAAUUGCUAAAGAAUGAAAAUGAUGUGAACGAAAAUUCAAAUGAUUGUUGAUGACGUCUCCCGCUGGUUCGAUUGAUCUUACAUGUCUCUUUAAUAAUUUCGUUCAUGUUUGUUCUCUUUUUUAUCUUGUUGUUAAUUUGGUUGUUAAACUUUUUUUUAAAACAUAUACAGUACAUAAAUUGAUGAUGAUCAUGAUUACGUGCUUGAAUGUAUGAAUAAUUUUUUUUCUGAAUUUUUCCCUGUUUGAUUUGUCAUUUAAACAUUUUUUGUUGUGUCCCUUCGCCUGCCCUUAUUCUCAUCCGCACGGUGUCGCGGAAGUUAAACACACACACACCCUCCACACAUGCAUUUUUCUUUUUUAUUUUAAUUUCCCAAGGUCUACAAGGUACACGAAUGAGCGGUAAAAGAAAGGAAAAAAUUGAAAUAAAAGAAAAUGUUUACAAAAAAGAAAAAAAAAAUAUGUUGAAAGGAAAAGAAAAAAAAAAUUAAACAAUCCUAGUGCUGUUGCGGAUUCACAAAUAACACUGCCACGUGGCUUCGAAUACACUAGAAUGUGCAAA